rnacentral:rRNA from 1 species
AGGAGGCAGCAGUGAGGAAUUUUGCGCAAUGGGGGAAACCCUGACGCAGCAACGCCGCGUGAGUGAGGAAGGCCUUCGGGUCGUAAAGCUCUGUCGGGCGGGAAGAAAGUCUUCUGUAUAAACAGUACGGGAGAUUGACGGUACCGCCGGAGGAAGCACCGGCUAACUCCGUGCCAGCAGCCGCGGUAAUACGGAGGGUGCGAGCGUUAUUCGGAAUUAUUGGGCGUAAAGGGCGCGCAGGCGGUUUUCUAAGUCGGAUGUGAAAUCCCGGGGCUUAACCCCGGAAGUGCAUUUGAUACUGGAAGGCUUGAGUAUGGGAGAGGGAAGCGGAAUUCCUGGUGUAGCGGUGAAAUGCGUAGAUAUCAGGAGGAACACCGGCGGCGGAGGCGGCUUCCUGGACCAAUACUGACGCUGAGGCGCGAAGGCGCGGGGAGCAAACAGGAUUAGAAACCCUAGUAGUCG